rnacentral:rRNA from 1 species
GACGAAGGAUGCAAGCGUUAUCCGGAUUCAUUGGGUUUAAAGGGAGCGUAGGUGGCCUUGUAAGUCAGUGGUGAAAUCUCUCGGCUUAACUGAGAAAUUGCCAUUGAUACUGCAGGGCUUGAGUACAGAUGCCGUUGGCGGAAUAUGACAUGUAGUGGUGAAAUACAUAGAUAUCGGGAGGAACACCGGUGGCGAAGGCGGCGACCUGGGUCGAUACUGACGCUGAGGUGCGAAAGCGUGGGGAGCAAACAGG